GACGAACGCUGGCGGCGUGCUUAACACAUGCAAGUCGAACGGAAAGGCCUGCUUUCCCUUGUGGAUUGCGGGUGCUCGAGUGGCGAACGGGUGAGUAACACGUGAGUGAUCUGCCCCCAACUUGGGUAUAAGCCUGGGAAACUGGGUCUAAUUCCCGAUAGGACUGCAGGGUGGUGCCUGUGGUGGAAAACGAUUUUCUAGUGGUUGGGGAUGAGCUCGCGGCCUAUCAGCUUGUUGGUGGGGUAAUGGCCUACCAAGGCGGCGACGGGUAGCCGGCCUGAGAGGGUGGACGGGCACAUUGGGACUGAGAUACGGCCCAGAAUCCUACGGGAGGCAGCAGUGGGGAAUAUUGCACAAUGGGCGGAAGCCUGAUGCAGCGACGCCGCGUGGGGGAUGACGGCCUUCGGGUUGUAAACUCCUUUCGACCGCGAGGAAGCCACCUGGUUGGAAGGGUGGUGACGGUAGUGGUAGAAGAAGCACCGGCUAACUACGUG
rnacentral:rRNA from 1 species